rnacentral:rRNA from 1 species
AACGAACGCUGGCGGCGGGCCUCAUACAUGCAAGUCGAGCGCGAAAGUCCGCAAGGAUGAGUAAAGCGGCGCACGGGUGAGUAACACGUGGGUAAUCUACCUUUUGGAUUGGAAUAACCUGUCGAAAGACGGGCUUAUGCCGAGUAAGCCUUCUUGAACGUGAAGUUCGAGACGGGAAAGAUGGCGCAAGCUAUCGCCGAAAGAUGAGCCUGCGUCCCAUUAGUUAGUUGGUGGGGUAAUGGCUUACCAAGACAAUGAUGGGUACCUGGUUUGAGAGAAUGAUCAGGCACACUGGAACUGAAACACGGUCCAGACUCCUACGGGAGGCAGCAGUAGGGAAUAUUGCGCAAUGGACGAAAGUCUGACGCAGCCACGCCGCGUGAGUGAGGAAGGCCUCGGUGU